rnacentral:ncRNA from 1 species
CUUUAUGAGGACAUCAUAGGUCGCUGGAUUUCAACAUUCAGCGCUAAGAGGGAACCCGGUGCGCAUCGCUUUUCGAGCGGUGCAAUCCCGGGACUGCCCCCGCAACUGUGAGCGGCGAGUUCCUGUCGGAUAAAGGUCACUGAUGCUUCGCGUGUCGGGAAGGCCAGACAGAGAGCAGCGACCCGCGAGUCAGGAGACCUGCCUGUGAUGGUGUUUUCACG